rnacentral:rRNA from 1 species
CUACGGGAGGCACCAGUGAGGAAUUUUGCGCAAUGGGGGAAACCCUGACGCAGCAACGCCGCGUGAGUGAUGAAGGCUUUCGAGUCGUAAAGCUCUGUCAAGUGGGAAGAACCUACCGAGUGCUAAUACCACUCAGUACUGACGGUACCACUGAAGGAAGCACCGGCUAACUCCGUGCCAGCAGCCGCGGUAAUACGGGGGGUGCAAGCGUUACUCGGAAUUAUUGGGCGUAAAGGGCGCGCAGGCGGCCUGGUAAGUCAGAUGUGAAAGCCCGGGGCUCAACCUCGGAAGUGCAUUUGAAACUACCUGGCUUGAGUAUGGGAGAGGGAAGUGGAAUUCCUGGUGUAGAGGUGAAAUUCGUAGAUAUCAGGAGGAACACCGGUGGCGAAGGCGACUUCCUGGACCAAUACUGACGCUGAGGCGCGAAGGCGUGGGUAGCAAACAGGAUUAGAUACCCCCGUAGUC